CCCACCCUUCAUGCUGGCUGGUAUGUGUCUUGCACAUCUGUGUGCCAGGCUGGGGGCAGAGUGUGCCAGCACUAACCAGACACUGGAGUCUACUUUGGGCACUUCAAGCAUGUAUCUCCUUAUGCCAGUCACAUACUUUCAGCUUUGUGUAGUGUUUUCUUUUUCUUUAAGAGACAGGGUCUCGCUAUGUUGCCCAGGCUAGACUUGAACUUCUGGGCUCAAGUGAUUCUCCCACCUCAAGCUCCCCAAUAACUGAGAGUAAAGGCACAUACCACCAUGCCCAGCUUGUAUAGUAUUUUCUGACUUCAUCUUAAAAUUUAUCAAAGGUGAUUGUGAAAACAAUGUCUUAGAAGUAUAGACAGAAAUGGCAAUAUUUAGGUCCUGUUUUGUAAGCCCAAAGGUUGUAAAUUCAACAUUUGCAGGCAAUAGCACUGCCAAUCUUAUGUUAUGGUUUAAAUAUAAAGAAAAAUCACGGCAGCCUUAAUUUCCUUUUGGUGUAGGAUCAUUUGCAGUGGUUCUAAUCUCUAAAUUUUAAAAUAGAGGGAUAUUCUCUCUGUGUCUGAUUUGGAAAAGGAUCUGCUUCCUUGCCUUACUGCUUUAGUAUAAAGACAAAAAAUAUGAGCACUCUGCAGACAAAAAUGACCUUAAAUCACAUUGAUUGUCUUAAGAUAUUUUAAAUGUUAGCAGUGAACCAAAAGUAGUGUCAUAUUAGCAAAAAUACUUAAAAAGCUCUAAGCUUUAAAAGUUGAGAUUGAAGAUUUAAUGAAUGUUUAUUAAUUCUUUUUCCUGAAAGAGCAAAAGAUCAGUUUUGUUCCCUAAAAUAAAAGUUUUAAUAAACAGAAAAUGAUAGCAACAGUACUUAGAAUAGUUGACGAUCGUAUUAAUUUGAAUAAUUAUUUGCUAUAGGCUAUGGAUUUCAUCAGUUUUGUCCACUAUAAUUUUAACAUAAAUUUGUAUCAAAUACAAAUUCUGAUAAACUGUUAGGUUUUAAUACCAGACAGGAUUCAAAGUCAAAUUAAUGUUUGCAAACUUAAAUCCAUAGUCUUCAUUUCUUUAUAUUUUCACUUUUGUAAAAGUGUUUAAAAUUUGUAUUGUUUGUUUUGUAUAUCUUUGGGCAUUUUGUGUCUAGCUAUAAUAAAAAGAAAUAGCACUGAGGUUCUUAAAUGAAGUAUGUGGGUAUAUGUGCAUAUAAACUUCUUUGAAAGCCUAAUUAUAUUUUUAUUUUGGUGUUUCUUGUUUUUUAUUUUUUGGUGAUUAUUGAGAGGACAUCAGGAAUGCUUGUCUUCUAGUGUCCUUACUUACAGAGAAAUAUUACAUUUGCCACACUACACCUAAUUAAUUCCGGUUAUACCCUCAUGGGGCAUAUGGACAAGGGAAAAGGAAAAAGGGACAAUUCCGUCUUAAGUUACUACUCUGUUCAUUUAGUGAACUUUUGGGCAGAACCUGCUGGAGAGCAGGAUCUGUGCUGAGUGCCAGCGAUGCUCUGAAGAAGAAGUCAAGAGACAGACAGUUCAGUGAGCAAGGGAGGCACAGUUUACAAGUUACAACACCAUCCCACACCCAAAAGGUGCUACGAAAACACUGUACACUAAAGUCAGUAGGCCUGCCCAUGUGCUUGAAACAGAGAUAAAGAUCAUUUGCAAAGUGGCGAUUGUUCACGGGAUUUUAUUGCUGCUCUUUGUAAGGUUUGUGUUUGGAGCUAGAACAGAUUAAGCCCAAUGGAGGGAUCAGACCAAGAAUGUGGCUGCUUGGGUCAAUCAAAGGCCUGUGGGAGAUCCCUUCAGACUUCCAGCAGAUGCCCAAGGAAGCCAACACUUUAUCCUUAAGAAGAUGAGCACUGAGCAGGGACUGAGAGGAGAAUACAGAUGCCCUCCCUCAUCAGGGGCAAGGGACCAGUCUUUGAAUUCAAACCUUUAUCUGCAUUUGUGAAAGCCUUGUCAGCCAGCUAUGGUUUUAUGCAUUUUUAUUCACUUAAUGCCUUGAAACUGAUGCCAAGAUGUAAGUACCAGUGCUUAUUAGCAAACUAUGGGAGAGCUUUAAGAGUAGGUGGAAUUUCAGUGGGCAAUAGUUUCAAGAGAUUGUGGAGCUCUAGAGAGUGUUCCCCCCAAUAUGGGGAUGAGAUAAACCUGAAAAAAAUCCUGCCACUCUGUAUAACAGAAUUCUUAAUAGAAGCAAAUACAUAUGAUGUCUAAAAUAUAUCAAAUUUAAAUAAAGCAUAUAUUUGGUUCCAUUGCCAUUUUUAAAUACCUCUAUCAUAUUUAGAGUACUUGCCUCGUUAGUAACUCUUAUGUCUCCAAGAAAAUUAAGCAGCUUAGAUGCUACAGGUAAACUGACCCUCCUGGAUUUAGGAAGGCAGUCUUUCUUUUUUGCCACUGGUUUGUGUUGGAGAUCAAAUUCUCUUUAUCUUGAGUAAUUUGGAGCGCUCCAGUCAGCAAUUAGUAACAGCCUACAGGGUAUUUGGACAGUCUUUGAGUGCCUCCCCACAACUCUCCACUAGAGGGACCACUAGCUCUUUUCUUUUUCCCUUUUCUCACUCUUCUCCCAGUAUUUUAUCUUUGGCUGGAGGCCCUCUACCCAGUGUUUCCUCCUCUACCCAGUGUAAAUCUCACUGACAAAUUUGUCAUAAAAUUUCUUGAGAUGAUUUGGGCUGAAAAGAAAUAUCCAUACUCUGUAUAUUUACUAUUAACAGUCUUGAGAAAUAGCUUUAAUAACAUUUCAAUGUGUCCAUUUGAUACAAUAUCUAUGUGAGUGAGAUACAAGUAAUGGUGAAACCAGUUUUUCCUAUUUAAGGAAAUGAGAGAGAAGGAAAUACCGGGGAAAUUCACCAGAUCCUCUGACCAAAGAGAUAUUUCUCAGCUGAAUAAUAAAGCCCCACAAACUGAGGUCCCAUUGUUUCUGAAUCACAGGCAAAGCUAGGGAAUUCACAAUUUCUAAUCUUAAAUCUCACUUUUCUUAGAUACAAAACAGCUUCCUGGCUUUUGCCAGACCCUAGAUACCUAGUAACAAUGCAGUCUUAAGACACUUUAAGCCUCUGGGAUGUCUUCAAAUAAAAUACUGGAAAUUGCAGAGGCCUAUCUCCCUCUCAUCUCACCCUCCCCUCCCCCAGGUAAACAGACCUCCUAAGAAUUGGAAUUCCUUCCCAGGGCUGUUAAUGCAAAGCUCAGAGAUGUUUAGGGAUUAGACAUAUGUCUGGAUUUGUCUGGAACAAUUCUAGGUUUUGAGAACUUGAAUAUCCUGUGUGUUGAGAAUUGAGGCCUUUGCCUCCACCCCUAGAAGCCAUCUGGAAGCUGCCAGUGGUGAAGGGGGAGGCCCAGGCUAGCUUCUUGGAGUUUUGCUCCUCCUAUGCAUGCUCUGCUCCGAGUUGGCAGUGCACAUCUUCCACCCCAGAGCACGAGCACCGAGACCAGAGUCUGACUGCUCCUUGCCAGCAGGUCUAGGAGAUCCCUUGGGAGAUAACUUUGAAAAGAUCCGAUUUCUAACUUCUCAGCAGUUUGGUCUUCUUGGAUAAGCAAAUGAUAAUGAACGACAUUCAGAUAUAUUCAGAAGGAAAGUUCAAAGCAAUUCCUAGAGCUCCAGUUGCUUACCACUUCUACAGUGAGGAUUUACUCAGCAUCAAUCUUGUUUGGCAAAAAGAGUAAUGAAAAAAAAUCCUCAUUGUCAGCUUCAUCAGGAUGGCAAAGCUCAAGGACUCAUGACUCUUAAUAAAAUAGUCACAGUAACAAUGGUUCUCUAGCUUUUAUCUGUCAACUCCAAUUCUACACUUUUUCAGCUACCUUCUUAAUUUCUUAUAUAGGGUUGGGCAGCUUUGUCCUUGCUGCUGAAAGAAUCACCUAGCCAUUGAAAGCCACAUUAAAAUUCUGAGUAAAUAAGAUACCACAAUUCUUGAUACACUUGCAUCUCUAUCCUCUUUAGUAUUAUUUAUUAUUUAGUAUUAUUAUUAGGUUCAGCCAAAUUUUUAGGAAUUCUUUCCACAUUGGUAUUUCUCAAAGUAUGAGCCUCAGGGCACCAUUACAAAUUCAUCUGGAUCAAGGGCCAGGCCUAGGCAGUGUUCCAUCAUCAGUCUGUGGGUCAGGGCUUAGGAGUCUACAUUCCAGAAAGCUCCAUGUGCGAUUCUUUCAUGCACCAAAGUGGGAGGACCACUGCCCUGAGGGAAAUUCUCCCCACUAGAUAGUGUAAAGGAAACUGAGGGCCUGGGAAAUGCAGUUCACAAAUUGCCCACCACCAUCCAGCCAGUGUGCAUUAUGGAGGGCCUAGUUCCUGCCUCCCUGCUCCCUGUCCAUGGGCUUUUAGGGUCAGUGGAUGGGGCAGGGGAUUUAUAGCCCAGAAAUUCAUAGGAUCCCUCAGUGCAUGGAACAGGGAUGGUGCUGUGUUUGCCAAGAGGUAAAGCCAUCUCUGGAAUUUCUAUUUUAAAAUGCCACUUCAGUGUCUCAGAACUCAGAGCAAAGAAACUACCACACAGUACACAGUAGGCUACCAGCCUGAUGCACUUCCUAGCUGAAAACUCAGGCUUUGUCCCAGCUGGCUGGUUCGAGAACAAUCACACAGCCCUGGCCAAGUGCACCCACUCCUUAUCACAGAGAAACUUUAGUCCUCAAUGCUACUCAUCCCCAACAGUAAUCAUUUAACUAAAUAAUUCAUCAGAAUGAAAGUCAGCAGGAUGCUCAGGUGAUUGCAUCUCCCAUCACUGACUAUUGAUUGGAACUCGGCCUGCUAAGCAGACACUAUUAGGCGCCCCCAGAAACAAAUGCACCAAGUGAAGCAUGCCUUACAUGGUUUGACCCCAAAACACAGGAAAACAGAAGCAGGUAGGAAAUUCCCUUUGGGGCCUUUUAUCUCUCUCCCUUCUCCUUCCUGCCCAGGCCACCCAGAGCCAUCUCCAGGAAAGAACAGAACUCUCCAGGGAUAAAGCAAUGCCCUGUGUCUUGCUGUUCUCUUUAGCAGACCUUGGAACAUCACUGCCUGUGCAAACCAGAGUAUUCCACAUUACCAAGCCCAGCCAGGCUACCGGGGCACACAGAUCAGAGAAAGAGACUGUCCCCUUCCUUCCCACCCUCCUGGACAGAUGAAGAGACGCUUGGACGCCACCGAGGAUAAUAACAAUGAUUGUGAGGACGCUUUCACACCAAAUACGCUUCAUUUAAUCUUCAUGACAGCAACACACGAUGCUACGGUGUGCCAGGUUCUGGGGACCCACACAUGAUCACCUAUUAGUGUCCUGGGGCUGCCAUAACAAAGCACCACAAACUGGGUGGCUCACGAUAGCAAUGUGUCCUGACUCAGGUCUGGGGGCGAGGAGUCCAAGACCAGGGUGUCCACAGGGCGCUGCUGCCUCUGACGCCCACGGGGAGAGUCCCGCCUGCCCCGUCCAGCUUCUGGGGGGCAGUCCUUGGCGUUCCUUGGCUUUAAGAUGCGUCACUCCGAUCUCUGUCUGCUCGGUCACCUGGCAUUCUCCCCGAUUGUCUCUGUCUUUUCCAUGUUUUAUAAGGACACCAGUCAUAUAGCCGAAGGGCCCGCCCCACUCCAGUAUGAUCUCAUCUUAAUCAAUUACAUCUGUAACGGCCCUAUUGGCAAAUAAGGUCACAUCAGAAAGAGCUAGGGGUUAGAAUUUCGACGGAUCUUUUUGGAGGACAUGAUUUGGCCCAUAACACAAGGCAACAGCCUCCCUGUCCUCAGUAAAUCACCAUCGUGGUCACAGUGGUGGUGAUCAGGAGUGGGCCAGCCUUCUGCAGAUGCGCAGUCCCACUGGGGGACUGGCCUGAAACUGAGGGUCUCCUGUCCCUCUCCCCAACCCCACCCACAGGGCCUCACCUGGCAGGUGCACAAUGUGUGACUAAUGAAUGACAAGCCACUCAGGGCUUUUAAAUAGUCCUUUCUUUUCUGUCUGUGACUUUUUAAUUUACCCUCCAAAUACAUGUAUUUUAAUUUCCCCAUUCCAGAAUUAAAUAAUUGAAUACUUUCAGUGACUCUUCCCUAGCAAGAGACCAGUCCAGGGCAUGGCACAAAGGGAAAGAAUGACAGGGGCUGAGCCCUCCCGCACGCACACACCUGCACUGUGAGGGCUUCGCACUCUUGGUCCACAGGGAAAUGUAGUAUUGAUUUAUUCUAGUAAAAAGCAUAAAUGCUC